UCUAACUUUUAAUCCAAAGGUUGCAGGUUUCAUUCCAUCACUGAAGCUAAGCAGGGCUAAAUCUGGUUAGUAACUGGAUUGGUGACCACAUGACAUAACUAGGUUGCUGUUAGAG
rnacentral:rRNA from 1 species